rnacentral:rRNA from 1 species
GACGACCGCUGGCGGGGUGCUUAAACCAUGCAAGUCGAACGGAAAGGCCCUGCUUUUGUUGGGCGCUCGAGUGGCGAACGGGUGAGUAACACGUGAGUAACCUGUCCUUUACUUUGGGAUAACUUCAGGAAACUGGGGUUCAUAACGGAUAGGAGCUCCUGCUGCAUGGUGGGGGUUGGAAUGUUUCGGCGGUUGGGGAUGGACUCGCGGCUUAUCAGCUUGUUGGUGGGGUAGUGGCUUACCAAGGCUUUGACGGGUAGCCGGCCUGAGAGGGUGACCGGCCACAUUGGGACUGAGAUACGGCCCAGACUCCUACGGGAGGCAGCAGUGGGGAAUAUUGCACAAUGGGCGGAAGCCUGAUGCAGCAACGCCGCGUGCGGGAUGACGGCCUUCGGGUUGUAAACCGCUUUCGCCUGUGACGAAGCGUGAGUGACGGUAAUGGGUAAAGAAGCACCGGCUAACUACGUG